GAAAACUAUUUGUGUCAGGCUGGCUACUGUGUGAUCACUCCCAUGGAUGUGGGUUGGGCCAUGUCACAAUUAACAGAAAUGAGUGCAUGAAGGCAGAAAUUACUGGAAGGGAGGUCAGGAUUCAACGAAGACAUCCAGACGGCUCUGUGUGGUGUUUUGAGAGCAGCCCCUGUUGAAGCUCUUCUGUAGGUAAUCCCUAGGAAUGACAACACAUGUGUCACAUACCAAAAGAGUUGCUACUCUGUUCACCCCAUCAAAGCAUCUGUGAAUUCUGGUUCCUAAGUGAAUAUGCAAAUCAACAGUAGCUUCAUUUGAUAUUUUUCUUGCUCUUAGUCAGAUUCUAACCUUUCCUGUUGUUCAUGUACAUGAAAAAGAAAAAUGCACGCGUUUAUCAAAAAACAAAACAAAACAGAAAAAAACAGAAACAAAAACAAAAAUCCCUGCGCCUCUGUCCUUUGAGGCUGGGUUAGUUGUCUAGGGCCCUCAUUACACUCUCAUUUACGACAUAACAUAAUUCCCCUACUUGUGGGUUUCAUCUCUAGGACAAAAGCUUUUUGGUGGUAAAGACGAUAACCAUUUUUAACCCCAAGACCUGGAGUGUAGGUGCUUCAAGAAAGUUAUUUAAAUGAUUGAAUGAGGUCAUGAUAACAGAAAACUUUUAAAAAAUUGUACCUAUAUCCAUACAUAGACGUAGGUAAAAAAAAAUCUAUCCUCUACAACUCCAUCAUGUUUCAGUUUUGUGUAUUCAUAUUUUUCACUAGUGUGGUCUCACUUUUCAAUCUAAGUAACUGUCCUGACUUGGCUAUUCUAUUAAAUGAACACAUGGAAUUGUGCUAUUUUCCUUGGUUGGGCGUGUUACACCUUCACACUGGAGAAAAAAAAAUGUCCAUGCUAGAGGAAGAUUUGAUGUGUUCUAAUGAGGCUCACUGUCUCCAAGCUGGUGGUUCUCACCCUAAGAGCUCUUCUUGUCACCCGGUGUGACUCCGUCUAAGUGUUAGCCAGUUGGUGAAUGAGAUUUUGGAAAAGUUCCAAGCUGCAGUUAAUUAUGUGCUUUUUUCAAAACUUGACUUUACUGUCUUCAUGGGUGCCUUCUCUCUAUUUAGUAAGUGGCUUGUUUUGCUUUUUUGCACAUCUAAUCUUACUUACAGUUUUCUUCCAAAAAUAGAAACACAAUAUAGUACUGAGGCAAAAUGCACAUUGCAUUAAUUUAUGCAAAGGUUUAAAAAGGCAGUGAGAUAACAUAUGUAACAGUGCUCUAAAAACAACAAAGACUCCUACAACUAAAUGGAAUUUAUCAUUUUUAUUAUCAUGCAUUUACUUUUGAAAAAAUACAUGGGUAUGUCUGACUUUUGAACUUGUGACAUGAGACAUUUCGGUAUUUUUUUGUGGAGUUUUGAUGGGCUUUUCUGUUGUUGUUUUUUUUUUUCUUUUAAUACAAGAUGGGUUGUAUGUUUGUAUGCUUUCUAGAGAUUUGCAGUUUUUUGAGUGGUUUUUUUUUUUUUUUUGCUUUUCAGUUUAUUCCUUUCACUUUGGUUUUGCUUGUUCAUGCCUAUAGAGAAUAAACUUUAUGAUAAAGCUGAUACAUCAACUCUAAAAACGAAAAGUCUGUGGGAUUUGGGGGGGGGGGUUGGAAAAAGAACAAGCUGAGGAAAAUUAAAUAGUUCCCAAAGAGCAUUUUACUUUCUGAGGUAUAAUCCCAAAGAAAAUUGUUAUAAUGUAAAAGACUCGGAAUAAGAACUCUUAAUAUUAGGUUCAUGUAAACUAUGGUCAAAGGAGCUAAGAAAUUGAUGACCACAGACAAAAUCGGUUGCUGUGUUUAAGACAUUUCAUGGGUGUAUUCUGAAGUAGAGUCUUCAGUUGGUUAGGUACUUGGGCUGUCUGGGUAUUAUUGAUCUAUUGAAGACAAAGAGGAAAAUGUUCUGAUCGGUAUGCUAAGAAGAGUUUGCUUCCUAGGGAAGGCAGGCAGUUUCAUGCUUCCUAACUUUUCAUUGCAAUUGUUAAGCCCACCUAGGAAGACAGAGGUUUGAAUUAUUAAAGAAACUGAGUUUUCUAGCCUUGAAGCAGAAUUUUUAAUAUUCUGCAAAUUUUAUAACAUUUUGUUUGGAAAUAUACAUUUCCCCUCAUGUUUAGAGACAGACAGAAAGAAAAUUCACUCAGGAGUGAGAAAAGUUAACCAUGACAUUAAAAUUCAGUUGAUUGUAUUUAGGUGUAUCUUGGGUUUU